rnacentral:rRNA from 1 species
UGCGUAGGUGGUUUUUAAGUUAUCUGUGAAAUUCCCGGGCUCAACCUGGGAAGGCCAGAUAAGACUGGAAGACUUGAGUAUAGGAGAGGGCAGUGGAAUUUCCGGUGUAGCGGUGAAGUGCGUAGAGAUCGGAAGGAACACCAGUGGCGAAGGCGACUGCCUGGCCUGAUACUGACACUGAGGCACGAAAGCGUGGGUAGCAAACA